UACGGAGGGUGCGAGCGUUAAUCGGAAUUACUGGGCGUAAAGCGCAUGCAGGUGGUGAGUUAAGUCAGAUGUGAAAGCCCGGGGCUCAACCUCGGAAUUGCAUUUGAAACUGGCUCACUAGAGUACUGUAGAGGGGGGUAGAAUUUCAGGUGUAGCGGUGAAAUGCGUAGAGAUCUGAAGGAAUACCAGUGGCGAAGGCGGCCCCCUGGACAAAGACUGACGCUCAGAUGCGAAAGCGUGGGGAGCAAACAGG
rnacentral:rRNA from 1 species